rnacentral:lncRNA from 1 species
CCGUUUUUCCACAAUUAUUUUUUUUUUCUAUUUUUUUUUACUUGCCUUGAAUCCAGAUUGGUGAUUUUGUGUAUCUUAUUGCGUUGAAUUGGUGAUUUUCAUAAAUUCGACGUUGUAUCUUUUUUUGUAAAAUGAAAAUAAAACGUAAAAGAUACCUAAUGUGACAAUGAUAUAGUAUGAACAACAACCGAUAAGGAAACCCGGGAAAUAGAAUAAAAACUUGAGAUACCGUGACUUUAUUUUUAUGUACAAAUUUUUAAAAACACCC